rnacentral:rRNA from 1 species
GACGAACGCUGGCGGCGUGCUUAACACAUGCAAGUCGAACGGAAAGGCCCUGCUUUUGUGGUGUGCUCGAUUGGCGAACGGGUGCGUAACACGUGUGCAACCUGCCCUUGUCUUUGGUAUAACUUCACGUAACUGGGGCUAAUAUCGUAUAGGAGCUCCUGCUGCGCGGUGGGGGUUGGAAAGUUGCGGCGGUUGGGGAUGGAUGCGCGGCUUAUCAGCUUGCUGGUUGGGUAGUGGCUUACCAAGGCCUUGACGGGUAGCCGGCCUGGGAGGGUGACCGGGCACAUUGGGCCUGAGAUACGGCCAAGACUCAUUAGGGGGGCAGGAGUGGGGACUAUUGCACAAUGGGCCGAAGCGUGAUGCAGCAACGCCGCGUGCGGGAUGACGGCCUUCGGGUUGUAAACGGAUUUCGCCUGUGACGAAGCGUGAGUAACGGUAAUGGGUAAAGAAGCACGGGCUAACUACGU